UUUCCGUAGGUGAACCUGAGGAAGGAUCAUUACUGAGUGAGGGCCCCUCGGGGUCCAACCUCCCACCCGUGUUUAACGAACCUUGUUGCUUCGGCGGGCCCGCCUCACGGCCGCCGGGGGGCAUCUGCCCCCGGGCCCGCGCCCGCCGAAGCCACCUGUGAACGCUGUCUGAAGUAUGCAGUCUGAGACAAUUAUUAAAUUAAUUAAAACUUUCAACAACGGAUCUCUUGGUUCCG
rnacentral:misc_RNA from 1 species